rnacentral:rRNA from 1 species
AUCAAAAACAUGUCUUUAAGUUAUUUUUAUUUAAGGUCUAUUCUGCUCAAUGAUGAUUUAAAUAGCUGCAGUAUUUUGACUGUACGAAGGUAGCAUAAUAAAUAGUUUAUUGAUUGUAAACUGGAAUGAAUGAUUUAAUAAGAUAUUUAUUGUUUCUUAAUUAAAAUUAAAAUUUGAUUUUUAAGUUAAAAAGCUUAAAUAUUUAUGGGGGACGAGAAGACCCUAUAGAUUUUUAUAUUUUGGUAUAUUUGAAGAUUAAUUUUUAAAAUGUAUAUAUUAAAAUAUUUUGAUGGGGAAUUAAUAAAAUGAAAAUUUUUAUUAAAUAUUUUCUAAAAUAAAAGAUUUUUUUGGUGAAUAAAGUUUUUUUAUUUUAAAUAAAAAUACCUUAGGGAUAACAGCAUAAUUAUUUUAUUAAGAUCAAAUUUUUAAAAUAAAUUGUGACCUCGAUG